rnacentral:rRNA from 1 species
GAUGAACGCUGGCGGCGUGCCUAAUACAUGCAAGUAGAACGCAGUUGCGAACGGGUGAGUAACGCGUAGGUAACUGCCUCAUAGCGGGGGAUAACUAUUGGAAACGAUAGCUAAUACCGCAGAUUGUGAGAUGGACCUGCGUUGGAUUAGCUAGUUGGUGAGGUAAAGGAUCACCAAGGCGACGAUACAUAGCCGGCCUGAGAGGGUGGACAGGCACAAAGGGAAUGGGACACGGGUCAGACUCCCACGGGUAGCAAGAAUAGGGGAUCAUCGGCAAUGGACGGAAGUCUGGCCGGACAACGGCGCGUGGGGGAAGAAGGUUUUCGGAUCGUAAAGCUCUGUUCUAAGGAGAGCGGUAACUAACCAGGAAGCCACGGCUAACUACGUGCCAGCAGCCGCGGUAAUAC